CGACAUCAAAUAGAAAUGACUUAAAGCAAACAAGACCCGGACCCGGCCAAGUUGUCAAACCUCAUAUUCACUACCCUUCCCGUUUCUUCCCAUUUCUCCCAACACAAAUCAAUUUCCUCCAAACAAGACCCUCCGACGCCGGACCUGGCACUGAUUAACUCACAACCUCCAAAGCCGAAAUAAAAAGAAGGCGUUUGUACCGGUCAUUGGUCGCUGCACCAGACCUGUCCUCGUCUUUGUCACUGGAACUUACCAUUGCAGGAAAGAACCAGGGAGUAUGUCAUAGUUGUAGAGGAAUGGGGCAUUUUUUUGCUGACUGUUCAGAGAAACGUCAUUGCCCAUGGUGCAAGGAUGCAUUCGUCAAGUGUUUUGAGGUGGAGAAAGAGAGCAAAAACGAAGGUAGAUUAUUCAAUAUGUGUACUGCAAAAUGUGGAAAUUGGGAGUGGGUCAAAGAUGGCGAGACUAGCGGCGAAUCAAGUCCAGUCAGAAUAACUUCAAUGAAUUAUGUGACGAGCAAAGGAGUUGACGAACUGUCUUGCACAUUUCAAUCUCAAUGUCAACUAUUUGAUCAACGUGAUGUGGACAUGUUUCUUAACGUUAUAAUACACAAAGGAAGAGCAAAAAAAUAGUAAAUGAUUUUCCAUUA